rnacentral:rRNA from 1 species
GCGAGCGGCGGACGGGUGAGUAAUGCCUGGGGAUCUGCCCAGUCGAGGGGGAUAACAGUUGGAAACGACUGCUAAUACCGCAUACGCCCUACGGGGGAAAGGAGGGGACCUUCGGGCCUUUCGCGAUUGGAUGAACCCAGGUGGGAUUAGCUAGUUGGUGGGGUAAUGGCUCACCAAGGCGACGAUCCCUAGCUGGUCUGAGAGGAUGAUCAGCCACACUGGAACUUGAGACACGGUCCAGACUCCUACGGGAGGCAGCAGUGGGGAAUAUUGCACAAUGGGGGAAACCCUGAUGCAGCCAUGCCGCGUGUGUGAAGAAGGCCUUCGGGUUGUAAAGCACUUUCAGCGAGGAGGAAAGGUUGGCAGCUAAUAUCUGUCAGCUGUGACGUUACUCGCAGAAGAAGCACCGGCUAACUCCGUGCCAGCAGCCGCGGUAAUACGGAGGGUGCAAGCGUUAAUCGGAAUUACUGGGCGUAAAGCGCACGCAGGCGGUUGGAUAAGUUAGAUGUGAAAGCCCCGGGCUCAACCUGGGAAUUGCAUUUAAAACUGUUCAGCUAGAGUCUUGUAGAGGGGGGUAGAAUUCCAGGUGUAGCCGGUGAAAUGCGUAAGAGAUCUUGGAGGAAUACCCGGUGGCGAAGGCCGGCCCCCUUGGACAAAGACUGACGCUAG